UUUUCCCCCCCGAAACAGAUUUCCUUUGUCGUAAUAGAUAAUACGUGGUGACGUUUUGCCGCAAUUGUGAAACCCACCCAUACUAGAAAAAAACUUCAUUGGUUGGUCACAUUAGAAGUAGGAAGGAAAACUUGUAUUAGUUUCGUUUUUUUUUUUUUUUUUCCUUCUUUUCUGUUUCACUUAUUCACAAUCCAGAAAUAUGGCAACGUAUUACGUUUAUAUGGUUAAGCAAUGAUUUUAAGAUGACAUUUUAUAUUAAAUAUGUCCCGAAUUAAUUUUAAAAACAGUGGAAAAAAUGAAGGUAUGAGUUAUUCUUAAUGAAAACAAAAUCCAGGAUUGUUUUGAAUGUUAUAAAUUGAAUUACGAUUGAAACAAGUAAAAUGGAUGUUGUGUCUCGAAAUUGUGAAUUAAAACCGUUGAAUAAGAGUUGUGGAAAUGUAAACAUAGACGAAUCAGAUGAAUCACAUUCUAUAGCUGUUGAAGUGUUGGCAAGUCUUUUAAGCGGAACUUCAUAUCAAAGUGAAAAUGUUAAGCAGCAAAUAGAUUUACCAAUAUACCCCCCUCUAAAUUUGAACGAUGGAUAUGCAAAGGAAAUGUCUUCGUUUGCUAAUUUACCAUCGGGGAAGUCGAUGGUAAGCAGUUAUUUACAACCAACUGUUACUUCGAAUAAUCCGUGUUCAAUACCAAAUCUCAGUAUCAAUAUCAGCCGCACAUACUAAUAUCUGAAGCUAACAAAACUUGUCCUUUUGUACUUUCCACCAGUAUUCCACUAACUACAUCGAAGUCUGACUUAACUUUACCGAUCGAGACCGAUACGACUAACGAUUCAAAUUUGCCCUAUCUGAAUAAGGAUAGUAUGAUGAAGAUCCACCCCGAUAAUGUUGAUUCUCUACUGAUUGUUAAGCGUACCUCCAACGAUUCAAAAAUGUAUAAAGUGAAAAAAGUAAAAAUAGAUGAAAUUCUAAACAUACUAAACGAUAAUAGAACGAGGAAGUCUAGUAUUUUGUCGAAUGUGUCUUCAGAUGAUAGCUGCAGCAAGAAGUCCGAACUUUUAACGAAAAAGCGGUUGAUGGCCCAGUUUGCAGUCAACUCAACAAAUCAAUCGAGGGAGAAUUUUUCGCGAUUGUUUCACUUUCCAGAUUUUAAAAUUAACACUGACUCAAUGGAUGACAGCCAACAUUUAAAGAAUACAAUUGGAUUGUUUUCCCGAAACAGUUUAGAAAACAGGACGAAAAGUUGUUUACCUCUGAAAAAAAGGAAAAUAAAGUCGACUUUUCAGGCAACCAAACCUUUUAAACCCCACAAUACAAAUGUCUCUGUUGUUACAGGUGAUAAAGAAAAGUUAAUCCUGAUUUACAAAUCCGAACAAAGUCAACUAUUAACUGACAAUGAUGAAAAACUGAGAAAAAAGAUCGAAAUUGCUCUAAAACAGGAUGAAGAUGGUGACUUGCCGCUACAUAUAGCUGUUGCACACAAGAAUCUAGCAUCAAUUGGAUCUUUCUGCAAGCUGAUUCAACAAGCGGGGAAAACUGUUGAUCGCUUUAAUAAAAAGAAGUUUACUCCUUUGCAUUUAUGUGUGAAAAUGAAUUAUAGUAAGGGUGUGAGGAAGUUAAUAAAGAUGGGUGCUGACAUGAACUUGUCUGAUGGCAAAGGAAAUUCUGCUGUUCAUUUAGCAGUUUCCUAUUCACACUUUGAAUGCUUUGAUGUUAUACUAAAGACAUGUUCUUCUAUGGAAAAUUGUAAACCAAAUUUAGAUUCCCAUAAUUAUGAAGGUUUAACACCCCUGCAUACAUCUGUCCAAAAGCAGAACAUUGAAAUGGUCAGGAAACUUUUAAAAGCUGGGGCUGAUCCAGAUAGUAAGGAUUACAAGAGUGGCCGGACACCUUUAUUCUUUGCUGUUGAAAACAAAAAUGAAGACAUUAUAAAAUUAUUGCUAGAGAAUAAAGCUUCCAUUGACAUUCAAAAUUUUGCUGGACAUACUCCUUUUCUUGUCGCUAAUGGUCGUAAAUACCCAGAAAUUUGUAAGUUAUUAGUUGAUCAGGGAGCAGAUUCUCAUGGAAUGACAUUUGAUGAUUUGGCCUGCAACUACAAGACAUCAAAUAUAAAGUAUCAGUUGAAAAAUAAAUUAGUAGCCAACCAGUCCAGUUAAAAUCAUAACUGAAAAUUUUAUGGCUAUCUUGAGAAUGGUUCUUUCAAGGAAAAUUUGGGAAGUUAUCAGACCCAGCUUGAAAUUUUGGUUAGUGCUUUCCUCAUCAUUUUCUGAAACAGGCUGAAGAUACGCAGAAGAUGAACCAUUGGCCCUUUUGGAGUCAUUUCCAUACCUAAUCAUUAUAUUUUGUAGUAGAGGUUCUGAACGAGAGGGAAAGAUGUGAGACGACCACCAAAAAUGGCUGUGCAGAAGUUUUUGGUAUCUGGAAGUAUUCUGACAAAUUCUCGCCACAGGUCAUGUGCAACAUAACAGUGUCUGGCUGAUGAAGAUGUUACCAUAUUGAAAGAUUGGCCAGCUCAGAGCCGUGACUUAAAAUAUCAUCGAGCAAAUGUGGACAGAACUUAAGAGAAGUGUUCAUGAGAAGAAUCCAUGAAGAGUUGUGGAGCUCAGCCAUAGAGAAUGGUAUCCCAUACAUGUGAAGAUGGUGAAGGAUUUGCAUGCAACUCUUCCCAGGCACAUUGAAACAAUUAUUCAAUUUAAGGGAAGCCACAUGAAAUAUAAACAAUGUACAGUAAUUUCUUGAAAUGAAUAUUAUGUAAUAAAUUUUCAUUAUAGGCAUU